UUGGAGGGCAAGUCUGGUGCCAGCAGCCGCGGUAAUUCCAGCUCCAAUAGCGUAUAUUAAAGUUGUUGCAGUUAAAAAGCUCGUAGUUGAAUUUCGGGAUCAAUAUUUCGGUCAUGCCGUUGGUAUGCACUGUUAUCAUUGAUUUCUCACCUUCUAAAGAACCGUAAUGCCAUUAAUUUGGUGUUACGGGGAAUUAGGACUGUUACCUUGAAAAAAUUAGAGUGUUUAAAGCAGGCUCACGCUUGAAUACAUUAGCAUGGAAUAAUGAAAUAGGACAUCCGAUUCUAUUUUGUUGGUUUCUAGGAUCGAUGUAAUGAUUAAUAGGGGUAGUUGGGGGCAUUAGUAUUCAAUUGUCAGAGGUGAAAUUCUUGGAUUUAUUGAAGACUAACUACUGCGAAAGCAUUUGCCAAGGAUGUUUUCAUUAAUCAAGAACGAAAGUUAGGGGAUCGAAGACGAUCAGAUACCGUCGGAGUCUUAACCAUAAACUACGCCGACUAGGGAUCGGAUGAUGUUAAUUUUUUAAUGACUCAUUCGGCGCCUUACGGGAAACCAAAGUGUUUGGGUUC
rnacentral:rRNA from 1 species